GUCACGUUCAAGACUGCUUACCAGGUGAACAGCUCCACGUUUACGACUUCACAAGGAGUAAAGCUACCUCAUAUCCCUGCAUUCUGUGAUUUCUCCUGAAGCCCAGCAAUCCUCAUUGAAAUCAAAGGAGUUACAGAUUCUGCACCAAGUUUCUAACCUGGUACAAGAUCCACGGGUCCAUUUCCCAGCAUUUGCCUCUAAUGGCAUUUUCAGAAAAAACUGGCUGGGAAGCCAAUCACAUUGGGCCAAAAUGUACAGAUCUCUGGGCACCAAUUACAUUGAGAACAGCUGGUGAUGUUCAUCUCGUGGGUCAGCUGGUCACUGACUUCCAAAUUUGCAAUUUAGAGAUGAGCUGGUGUCACCAUGAAAUCUCGUAGUGAAACACAACCGUAGUGAGCUGAGGAAAUAAGUGGCUAAUGCAUUCUUUUGAAUGGGUUCACUAACUUUCACUGGAAAUGUAAAUGUGGUUUGUGUGUUUUACCUGAUUUAAUUUUAUGUCAUGUUUCUUAGAAAUCUUAGUAGAUUCAUCUAUUCUAAAGGUAACUUCUACUUUUUAAAUACUUUUUUGAUUAUUUAUGAUUGUUAUUAUUUGUGUUUGAAAUAUUUUUAAAUGAUUGUCAAAGACAUUUAAAAAGAGCUAAGUAGUCUGUUGACUGUAGUGAGCUGUUAAAAGCUAGUAAAAUGGCCCCAUUAUCUGC